rnacentral:lncRNA from 1 species
UUGAGAAUGUUGCCUGUCUGAGCCCUGAGAUGAGCUGAGGGUUCCUCCUCCCCAGCCAGCGCCAGCCUCACACAGUCCUUGUAAAUCUGAAAGUGCUGUUGGUAGCAACCACGGAUGGGCAGAGGCAGCCCUGUCCUGAGGGUGACAUGAAAGUGAGAGCAAGCUGAAGCUCCAGUUGGCUUAGUCUCAAAAGUGUCACUUUCAGAUUAUAUCCCUCAGCUUUAAAGUGUCCUUCUUUGAAGUCCAUCUUGCUCCGCCCACUCUUUGUCCCCGGUGGUCCCUUCCUCCUCUGUGUUCCUGUGGCCUGGGAUUCACACCAGGAAAGAACGCCACGAAGAAGGAAUGACAAGAAAAUGGAGGCAAAGAACAUUGGAGUCACUCGCUGGCUACACACGCUGAGGUGAUAACCAAGGUGCUCAAAAAGGGCUCGUGUGCAGCAGUGAGUGCCAGUUUGAAUGAAGGAAGCAUGCGUGGCCUGAAGCCUCACCGUGUUCCAGGCGUCCAGUUAAGUGCUCUGCACAUAAUAUCACACAUUGUGCUCCACGAUAAGGGUCUGGAAAGCAAUUCCCCACAGAAGGAAAGCAGAAUCUUCUGGGCAUUUCUGAUCAAGUGGACUUCCUUCAGCUGAGCACAGUCCUCAGGAGAAGCGGACAGGUGCAAAGUGUUGGAAGCCAACACUCACAGCAGUUGGGGGUUGGAGUGCUCUGGCUUCCAACAGCAUUGAAACCAACAGCAUUGACUACAG